rnacentral:rRNA from 1 species
GACGAACGCUGGCGGCGUGCUUAACACAUGCAAGUCGAGCGGUAAGGCUCCUUCGGGAGUACACGAGCGACGAACGGGUGAGUAACACGUGAGCAAUCUGCCCUUCACACGGGGAUAACUCCGGGAAACCGGUGCUAAUACCCGAUACGACCACUUCAGGCAUCUGAUGGUGGUGGAAAGUUCCGGCGGUGAAGGAUGAGCUCGCGGCCUAUCAGCUUGUUGGUGGGGUAAAGGCCUACCAAGGCAACGACGGGUAGCCGGCCUGAGAGGGUGACCGGCCACACUGGGACUGAGACACGGCCCAGACUCCUACGGGAGGCAGCAGUGGGGAAUAUUGGACAAUGGGCGAAAGCCUGAUCCAGCAACGCCGCGUGAGGGAUGACGGCCUCGGUUGUAAC